rfam:Betaproteobacteria bacterium RIFCSPLOWO2_12_FTLL_64_23 rifcsplowo2_12_scaffold_13149, whole genome shotgun sequence.
GGCGGGCCGCCCCGCAUUGCAGCGUAGUGAAUCUGGUCAGGUCCGGAAGGAAGCAGCCACAGCUAUUUACUGUAAGUGCCGGGGGUCCGGCUCGCCAUA